rnacentral:lncRNA from 1 species
GAGGGCAGGGGUCAGCCAAAUCUCCCAGCUAGAUUACCAGGGAGUUCAGGAUUACACUUUCAAUGCCAAAUACACAUGUAUUGGAAAAGAAAUAGAUAAAUGGAUGACUAGGAAACACAGCAGAUUCAGCCUGCCUGUGGAGAAUAGAAAGAAAUGGUGAAUUGAAAACUUUCAGAGCCAGGGUUUGACAUCAGUAGAACAGAACAGAAGCAAAGAUCAGGGAACACUAGGAUUCUCUCAGCUCAAUGUGGACCAAAGAUCAUUGCAGACAAUGGCCUGAAGGUAAGAGCACUUCCACAGCAUACCAAGAAUCUCU